AAGCACCGUAGCAAGUUGGCUCUUCAUCUAUUCCAUCUGCUUUCUCCUCCUUGGACACUGCCUUCCAAGUGAAUCCAUCAGGAUCCCGCCUCUCAGAUAUAGAAUCCGUGAUAACUCGCGAGCAUCUACAUGAAGGCUCUAACCUGAAAAUAAUAAUUAAAUUAUAUUAAAUAAUUACAUUAGACACUCAUUUGACACCUCUGAGUGUAACACGGAUAUAAGCGGCCAAAGGGACUGAGCAAGCAACCACAACAAGGCACUGAACAGCUUUAUUGACAGCAGCAUGUAUGGAAAUAAAAGUCCAACUAUUCAAGAAUAAGCAAAUAUAAGAAACUAAUAAACUUUCUCCUGCUUCUUAAAAUUGAAAAGACAUGUAAGCAAUAAAGAAUGAUCACAAGGCAUGUGAAAAUUUUGAAAAUAUAUGAUCACAGCAGUAAACAUUAAUAUAACGAAUCAGUAAACUCUCCUCUAAUUCUGAUUAAUACUUCUGUCUGGUGGGAUUGGGGCAGAGCGACAUGGCAAUUCCCCUAAUGGCAGCAACUACUACAAGGCAGUUUAUAUUGAUGAUCCAAUAAAAUACGACCAUUAAAACCAAAACAAUAUUUUGGAUUAUCAAUAAACUGUCCUCUAAUUUUGAAUCAGUCAUCUGUACACACUAAUUUCUCACAAGAAUUCAAUUAUCAAGGUGGUGUUUAGUAAUAAUUUAAUAAGACUUUAUAUAUGAACUUAUAUUCUGAGACUAUAUAACACUUAUAACUUUUUUUUAAAAUUAUAAAUGAAAUAGCUUGUCUGUAAAUUUCUGGAUCCACCGAGUGCAGACAGAUGUUGAAUGAGAACGUAUAAAGACUGCCUAAGCAGCCCCAAAUGUGUUAGUAGCACUAGCUGCAAAAAUAAUAUUAAAUUUAUAGUGUAUAUAUCAAUGGAUAUAUAUUUCCGGAGAAUAUCACGACCAAAUCUCAUUAAACAUGUUAAUCAGAGCAUCCAACAUAAAGUAAUUGCAGCAUAGCAAUCAGUGCAGUGGAUAACGGUUUGAUUUCUGCCUGUAAGUGGAUCUUUAAUAGAAGUUGUAAUAUAUGCAUACCUCAGGAUCUUCUCUCUGCUACUUAUGCAUUUUAAACUCUAUGAUUUUUGUGAUAUAUCACCAACCCAUACUCUUCUUCUUUCAUGCCAAGCUACCUCAUCUACAUAGCAAGUCAUCCACAAAAAUCAUAAGUUAGCAUGAUCUGCCUCGGGAAAAAAAUGUGAAGAAUAAACACAUAUAGGCUACAAGGAAGACGCAGAAUUUUGAGCAUUUCGAUGUUGCACACAUGAGAAAACAAACUAAUGGAGUACAAAUAAUGAUGUUCAAAAUUUUAUUACACAAAUAUGGUAAUACUCCAAGACAGUGUGAAGGUAGUUCUCCACAUUCUGUUACUCAAUUAAAUAAAACUCUAACUAUGCACAUUGAUACAUGACCUUGAAAUAGCAUAUAACUAAAUUAAAUGACACACCAAAGUAUAGUAAAAAAAGAAGGCUGCCAACAAGAAAUUCUCAUAAUCAAGCUCCUUAAAUCCACAAGAAAGAACAAGCCAAACACUAGGAUUCUUAAAUGAAAUGAGAAAUAACACUAAUUUAUUUUAGACAAACACCAAACAUUCAGCCAAAUCCCAUCUUUCACAGUAACAAAAACAAAAACCCAAAACCCGCGGUGUCCACUACAGAUGGAGUACAAAAAAAAGCAUCACAUAUUCACAAAGAGAACCUAAAUAGCAAGACCCUAAAUAGCUAGCAAGACCCUCAAUAAUCAAACCCCAAACAUCAUAUACACAAAGAGUAAACCGAGAAGUCCAGAAAUACCUGAGAGAAGAGAAAACCAAGAAGUUGUGAUGUUUUUGAUAGUUUUGUUAGGGUUUUGUGUUUUUGGAUUUAUGUUAAACAGAAAGAACAACAGAAAAGGAAGCAAAAGGCAAGCUAUUUCAUUUCAUAAAAAGUGAUAGUGGGCGGCUUCCAGCCUUUAUGGACAGACCCUGCUCAUGUUUGCCACGUGGCCUUAGCUUACUGGUUCCCAAAAUAACAGAAACUACCACUACUGAAAAACAGACAAUGACAUAAUAAUUAAAGGUGCACAUCAAAACGACAUCGUAACAAUAGUGGACAAUGUGAAAAUGUGACAACUCGCUCCUCCUUCAGAACAUCCUUGACCUCAAGGAUGGAAAUCAGGGAACUUUGAAGACAAUUGUUCCCAUAAUUCCCAAGUAGCUUCGUCUGAGGUUCCAUUCUCCCACUGUACCAGAACCAUGGUUGCUGGUCUAUUCCCCUUUUUAAUCAAUCUCCUGUCCAGAAUCAAAAGAGGCUUGGGGUUGAUAACACCAGUAUCAUCAGUACUGGGUAGAGCAGUCUGCACCAUCUUUCUACUACCAAUCUUCUUCUUCAAUUGGGAAACGUGGAAGACAUUGUGAAUCCGGGAAUUUGCUGGUAAAGCUAGCUGAUAUGCCACCUUGCCAAUACGCUUGGUGAUCAUGUAGGGGCCAUAGUAUUUAGCAGAUAGCUUGUGGUUUCUGCGUUCACACAGGGAUUGCUGUCGGUAAGGUUGAAGCUUGAGGAAGACUUCAUCAUUAACACUGAAUUCUCUGUCAGUUCGUUUCUUAUCAUAGUACCAUUUCAUGCGCUCCUGAGCCUUAACCAAGUUGUCCUUGAUCAGUUGCUGGGUAGCGAGGCGAUCCUUCAGAAAAUUAUUAACUUCUGGGUCCUUGGUUCGAUGAAAAUGGAAGUUGACUGAGGGUGGUUCCAUAGAGUAAAGAGCUUGGAAUGGAGACAUACCCAGAGCAGUGUGAUGUGAAGAAUUGUACCACCAUUCUGCCAUGGUUAACCAAGAAGCCCAAGUGUGUGGUUUAUGGCCCGCAACACAUCUCAAAAACAUCUCGAUACACUGAUUCACGCGCUCUGUUUGCCCAUCCGUUUGGGGAUGGUAUGCUGUGCUCAUCUUGAGCUUGACACCCAUAGCAGUGAAGAGUUCCUUCCAGAAUGAGCUCAUGAAAACAGAGUCCCUAUCUGAGAUGAUGGCUGAAGGUAAACCAUGCAAUUUAACCACAUUAUCCAUAACGGCAGUAGCUACCUUGACAGCAGUGAAAGGGUGAGAGAGAGGGAUCAGAUGACAGUAUUUUGUUAGCUUAUCAACUACCACCAAAAUGGUAUCCAUGCCCUUGGACUUGGGAAGGCCCUCCACGAAGUCCAUAGAAAUAACUUCCCAUACCUCUGAAGGGAUAGGGAUGGGCUGUAGUAAUCCAGCAGCCGGUAAAUGUUCUGACUUGUUACGCUGACACACAUCACAUUCCUUGAUGAAAGAUGCAAAAUCAGAUUUCAUGCUUGGCCAAUAGAAUAAUCGUUCAGUUCUUUUUACAGAGGCUGCUACUCCAGAGUGCCCCCCUUCGCUGCUACUAUGCAUAGUCACACAUAUUCUAUGCCUCAAGUCAGUUGCAGCGCCCACAUAGUACUUGCCAUUGUACCUUAAAACAUUGUUCUCCAGGGUGUAACCACCAAAAUUACUGGGAUCAAUUAACAAUUUGGCCAAAAUUUCUUGAGCCACAGUAUCAUUACCCAAACUUUCUUCAAGUUCUUCCUUCCACCUGGGUUUAGUGGCAUGGACCAUUAGGUUUAACUCUGCUUCCUCGUGCAGUCUAGAAAGAGCGUNUCUUUCCCUUUCUUGUACUGAACACUGUAAUCAUAACCUAAUAGCUUGGAGAGCCAUUUUUGUUGGAGGCUAGUAGUGAUCUUUUGUUCCAUCAGGUGCUUAAGAGCCUCAUGGUCGGUCCUUAUAACAAAAGGAUGGCCCAGAAGAUACGUUCUCCAUUUUUGAGUAGCCAUAAUCACAGCUAAUAGCUCCUUUUCAUAUGUACUCAUCCCCAUGUGUUUAGGACUGAUGGCCUUGCUAAGGUAUGCAAUGGGCUUCCCUUCUUGCAUAAGAACUGCACCGAUCCCUCCGUUGCAAGCAUCAGUUUCAACAACUAAUGGCUUGGUAAAAUCUGGUAGAGCCAGCACUGGAGUACUUGACAUUGCUUCCUUCAGUUGUUGGAAGGCUGUUGUGGCUUCUUCCGUCCAAUUGAAGUUCCCCUUUUUAAGCAAUUCAGUUAGUGGCUUACUAAUAGUGCCGUAAUUCUUGACAAAGCGUCUAUAGUAGCCGGUCAAUCCUAAGAAUCCCCUGAGUCCUUUGAUAUUCCUGGGCUGUGGCCACAAGGUCAUGGCUUUAACCUUGUUUGGAUCAGCAGCAACCCCUUUACAACUGAUGAUAUGUCCCAAAUAUUCAACUUCUUCUCUAGCGAUUUCGCACUUGCUUCUCUUAACAAACAUUUGUGAGCCCGCAAUUUAUCAAAGACCAGCUUCAAUUGGUGCUCAUGCUCUUCCAGAUUACUGCUAUAAACUAGAAUAUCAUCGAAAAAUACUAGUACGAAUUUUCGAAGAUACUCAGCAAACACUUCGUUCAUCAAAGCUUGAAAGGAUGCGGGGGCGUUAGUUAAACCGAAAGGCAUAACUAAAAACUCGAAAUGGCCUUGGUGAGUUUUGAAUGCAGUUUUGUAAGUGUCAUUCUCAUGGACCUUGAUUUGAUGGUACCCACUACGAAGAUCAAGCUUGAAAUAUACAGUACUGCCUUUGAGUUCUGCUAGUAAUUCUUCAAUGACGGGAAUUGGGAACUUAUUCUUGACUGUUAUGGCGUUGAGUGCCCUGUAAUCUACCACCAACCGCCAAGUAUUAUCCUUCUUCCUCACCAGGAGAACAGGGGAUGAGUAGGGGGAUGUGCUGGCCUUGAUUACCCCAGCCUCGAGCAUUUCCUUGGUGAUUUUUUCAAUUUCUUCUCUGUGUGCUAGAGGACAUCUGUAAGGAUGAGAGUUCACUGGUUCGCUACCAGCCUUGAGGGGAAUGUGGUGAUCAUGGUUUCGGGGAGGAGGCAGUUGAGUGGGCGAAGCGAAAACAUCAACAUAGUCUUCCAAUACUUGACUGAUGUUAUUAGGGAGCUUAUCUGUGACGUUGGGGAGACCUUCAAGUGUUGUUACUUGAAUGAGGAAAUAGGCCUCUUCUUUGUGAAACUUAUUAUUUCCUUUCUUCAGACGCAAUUGCACCUUUGCAGGGUUAGUGAAUUGUUGUAAACCCACCCUUUUGCCUUGGUGGUUUACUGUAAUCAUGCCCUUGGCGUAAUCAAAGGUAACGGGGCUCACCGUAGUCAUCCAUUGAGCACCCAAAAUGAUGUCAUAACCCCCCAGAGGAAUAAGGUGCAUAUUGGUGGAAAACACCUCGUCUGCCAUGCUCCACUUAACUGGCUCCACCGUUGUAUUGCACUGGACCUUGUUUCCGUCGGCAACUGUAAUGCUAAAAGGUGCACAGGGAUUUGUUUUGAGUUGCAACCUUUUUGCCAAGUUCUGGGACAUGAAAUCAUGCGUAGAGCCACUGUCUACUAAGAUAUUAACAAGGUGCCCUUGGAUGUUCCCCUGCAAUUUAAUAGUUCCGCUGCCCUGAGAACCAUUCAUGGCGUGUAGCGAGACCUUAGCCGCUGCACAUUCAUCUUCCUGUGGUUGUUCUGUGUUACAACCUUCCCAGGUAAUAGUUAAUUCUUCUUCAUUCUGUACUGCAGCUACCUCUUCAUCUCCAAUGAGGACAAACAAUUUUUUCUUUCUGCAAUCAUGCCCUGGCUCAUACUUUUGAUCGCAGUGGUAGCAUAAUCCCUUCUGCCUUUUUUCAGUUAGCUCAGCCAGAGACAACUUCUUAAAACCCUCUGUGGGAGGUUUAGACCCUGUGUUAUCACUGAAACUUCUAGUAGGGUAGGAUUUUGGCAGGGUUUUGGUAUGUGUUCCCAUGGCUCUGUAGCGUUUGUCCAGUACAGUGAGAAAAAACUUUUGGCCUCUGGCCAGAUCUCUUGCCUCCUGCAUAGUCUUGGGUUUCUGGUUGUACAAGUGUUGAGCAAUGUCAUCUUUAAGGCCACUAAUGAAGUUGUCAAUAUAGUAAGAUUCUCGGUGGAAACCCUCUUCUGCCAUAACAUAAUUUCGUAACUCAUCAAACUGAGUUAUAUACUCCUCCACUCUCCCCUUUUGUGUCAAUUUAUUGAACUGCCCCACCAGGUUUUCAUAGCCCACCUUCGAGAAUCGUUGACAAACCAGAUUACAAAAUUCCGGCCACAACAAAUUAGAUUUCUCCCUUUCUACUGUUCUAUACCAUAUAUCAGCAUCAUUCUCCAUGUGUAAAGCUGCACAUAAGACCCUUGACCUCAGAUCAGUAGUGGGGUUUAACUGAAAAAACUUUUCGCACUUGUUUAACCACCCCCUCGGGUCUUUUCCAUCAAACUUUGGGAAAUCCAGCUUUGGGGUUUUGUACGGUGUGGUGAUAGAGGGUAUAAACCCAAUGUUUUGUGGGUUUGAGUUGGGAUGGAUGGGGUUUGCAGUUGGUUGACUAAAAGUGGAGUAGUGGUUUUGUGGUGUUGAAACUGAGUUUUGGGUGAAGUGAGGGUAUAAAGGCAGAGCAUAGGGGUUUAAAGUGGACUGAAUGUAUGGUGGUUGGUAAGAUGCCAAACCCGUUGUAGGUUGGGGCAUAGGGAAAGUGGUGUUUGGCCNNNAAGAGGUGUUUGGCCAGCUGUUGGUUAAAAACUGGGUUUGAGGAACAAAAAAGCCAGGAGGAGUGGUGGGGUUUAUGGUGGUGUGUAGAGUAGGCUGGGAAGGGUUUAUGGGUCGUGGAAAAGGUGUGAUGGUUGAGCCACUCCAGUUAAUGCUACGAAAAUUACUCAUGUCACCAGAGCUAACAGAGCUUUCAAUAGUAGCAAUAUGAGUAGGAGUUUGUGGAUUAGAGCUUACCAGUGUGACGAUAUCUGAAGUUGGAGCAUCAUUUCCCCCAGGUAUUGAAGCCCUACCCAGAACCUCCUUCUUCAGUAACGCUGUAAGCUCAUCUAGACGAGUUUUGACCUCAAAAUUACUCUGUCUCACCAUCGCCACAUCCAUCUUUAGCUGACCCAUUUGUUCUUGAGUCGCUGUGUUAAAACUUUCAAAUGUGCCCAGCUUUUCUUCCAACGCUGCAAUGGAUUUUUCAUGCUUCUGAAUAGUGGGUUUAUCUGCCAUCAAGAUUCAAAGAAAAGUUUCCGAGGGCCGACGGCUCUGAUACCAAUUUGUGAUGUUUUUGAUAGUUUUGUUAGGGUUUUGUGUUUUUGGAUUUAUGUUAAACAGAAAGAACAACAGAAAAGGAAGCAAAAGGCAAGCUAUUUCAUUUCAUAAAAAGUGAUAGUGGGCGGCUUCCAGCCUUUAUGGACAGACCCUGCUCAUGUUUGCCACGUGGCCUUAGCUUACUGGUUCCCAAAAUAACAGAAACUACCACUACUGAAAAACAGACAAUGACAUAAUAAUUAAAGGUGCACAUCAAAACGACAUCGUAACAAUAGUGGACAAUGUGAAAAUGUGACAGAAGUCCAUCGAGAAGCUAACAAAAACCCAAAACCUGUAAAUAUCAGAUGAACAAAUUGAAUCAGAACAGCCUGUAAGUCCACCGAGAAGCUAACAAAUUAAUCGAAGAUAAUAAUUGAAACCACCUGAAGAGUGUAAAUAUCUGAUAAACAACCGCCUGAAGAGUGUAAUUACCAGAGAGAGAGAGAGUCAGAGACUUUGUUGCCCCCCUUUGAGAUGAGAGAACCCUAACCCGCUCCUAUUUUCACGAAGUGCCGCUCUUAUUUUCAGUUUUUCACAAAGUGCCGCUCUUA
rnacentral:lncRNA from 1 species